rnacentral:rRNA from 1 species
AGAGUUUGAUCAUGGCUCAGAAUGAACGCUGGCGGCAUGGCUAAGACAUGCAAGUCGAACGGACAUAUUGAUUGGGUAACCGAGAUGUAUGUUAGUGGCGAAAGGGUGAGGAAUAAAUAGGUAACGUAUCUUUAGCUUCAGGAUAGCGUCUAAGUGCUUGCACUUUUCCGAAAGGGGCAUUAAUACUGAAUGAUAUCACUUACUUAAUGUUUGUGAUCAAAGAUUUAUCGGCUUUAGAGCGGCCUAUUUCCUAUCAGCUUGUUGGUGAGGUAAUGGCUCACCAAGGCGACGACGGGUAGCGGGACUGAGAGGUUGGCCCGCCACAUCGGGACUGAGACACUGCCCGGACCUCCACGGAGGGCUGCAGUAACGAAUAUUGGGCAAUGGGCGAAAGCCUGACCCAGCAAUGCCGCGUGCAGGAUGAAGCCCCUCGGGGUGUAAACUGCUUUCAGGGAUUAGAAAGUUUCGAUUGAUCAAUCCCAGAAGAAGUCACGGCUAACUUCGUGCCAGCAGCCGCGGUAAUACGAAGGUGGCAAGCGUUAUUCGAAAUCACUGGGCUUAAAGGGCGCGUAGGCGGACAUGACAGUGCUUUGUGAAAUCCCCCGGCUUAACCGGGGAAUUGCUUGGCAUACUACAUGUCUUGAGGCAAGUAGGGGUGUGUGGAACUCUUNNGGUGGAGCGGUGGAAUGCGUAGAUAUCAAGAGGAACGCCGAAGGUGAAGACAGCACACUGGACUUGUACUGACGCUGAGGCGCGAAAGCGUGGGGAGCAAACAGGAUUAGAUACCCUAGUAGUCC